AUUACCACGCUGCCGUGGUACACCACACUGAUUCCACUGGUGGUCGUGCUGUCAUCACUGCCAUCAAAGAUCUGGUGGAUGAUCUGGCUCGUCACCGGAUGGAUAAAGAGAUCAACAACAGAAAGUGUGAGGUUCUGCUGGACGGCAGGUUUCAAGAGUCCAAGUGGAGACACAUCCAGGUUGGCGACGUGGUUCGUCUGAAGAAAAAUGACUU